UAAUCCGACCUAGGCUCAUCCAUUAGCGCGAGGUCUUGCGAUCCCCCGCUUUCCUCCGUAGAGCGUAUGCGGUAUUAGCGUUCGUUUCCGAACGGUAUCCCCCACUACCAGGCAGAUUCCUAGGCAUUACUCACCCGUCCGCCGCUCUCAAGAGAAGCAAGCUUCUCUCUACCGCUCGACCUGCAUGCGUUAGGCAUGCCGCCAGCGUUCAAUCUGAGCCAGGAUCAAACUCUA
rnacentral:rRNA from 1 species